UGAAAGUUUUAUUUUAGCUUAUAAAUUGGUUGUUAUUUUUUAUUAUAUGUAAAUUUUGUUAAAGAAUAAUUUGCAGUUUUUAAAAUUAUUAAUUUAAUUAGUUAAGAAUUAGAAAUAAUAAAUAUUAUAAACUAAAUUUGUGCCAGCAGUUGCGGUUAUACAAAUUAUAUAAAUUAAUUUUAUUAAUUUUAAUUAAUUGUGAAAAAAAGUUUAAAAUUAAAUUUAUUUGGUGAAAUUAUAAAUUUAAAAUAAAAUUUAAAAUUUAUAAUGAUUUUAAGAAAUUUUAUUUAUAAACUAGGAUUAGAUACCCUAUUAUUUAAAAUGUAAUUUUAUAUUAAAUUAGUAUUAGUUAUGAUCUUGAAAAUUAAAAAUUUUGGCGGUGUUUUAAUCUAUUCAGAGGAACCUGUUCUAUAAAUGAUAAUCCACGAUUUUAUUUACUUUUAUUAUUAAUUUGUAUAUCGUCGUUAUUUAAAUAUUUUUAUAGAAUUUUAAUAUUUAAAAUUUUUUAUAAAAAAAAUAUUUCAGAUCAAGGUAUAGUUUAUAUAAAAGGAGAAAUGGGUUACAAUAAAAAUAUUUUAGGAUUUUGAUUUUUAAAAUAAAUUGAAUGUGGAUUUGAUAGUAAUUUUAUUUAAUUUAUUAAAAUGAUUUUAGUUCUAAAACAUGUACAUAUUGCCCGUCACUUUCAUUUAAUAUGAAAUAAGUCGUAACAAAGUAGAUUUACUGGAAAGUGAAUCUAGAUAACC
rnacentral:ncRNA from 1 species